UACGUAGGGUGCAAGCGUUGUCCGGAAUUAUUGGGCGUAAAGAGCUCGUAGGCGGUCUGUCGCGUCGGAUGCGAAAACCCAGGGCUCAACCCUGGGCCUGCAUUCGAUACGGGCAGACUAGAGUUCGGUAGGGGAGACUGGAAUUCCUGGUGUAGCGGUGAAAUGCGCAGAUAUCAGGAGGAACACCGGUGGCGAAGGCGGGUCUCUGGGCCGAAACUGACGCUGAGGAGCGAAAGCGUGGGGAGCAAACAGG
rnacentral:rRNA from 1 species